UACAGAGGUCUCAAGCGUUGUUCGGAUUCAUUGGGCGUAAAGGGCGCGUAGGCGGCGGGGUAAGUCGGGUGUGAAAUCUCAGAGCUCAACUCUGAAACUGCACUCGAUACUGCUCUGCUUGAGGACUGGAGGGGAGACUGGAAUUCACGGUGUAGCAGUGAAAUGCGUAGAUAUCGUGAGGAAGACCAGUGGCGAAGGCGGGUCUCUGGACAGUUCCUGACGCUGAGGCGCGAAGGCCAGGGGAGCAAACGGG
rnacentral:rRNA from 1 species